rnacentral:sRNA from 1 species
GCAAUCAGGGAAAUGAUUUCAGUAGCAAUUUAGAUCGGAGCUCGCUUCAGGGUGAACUCCGAUUGCGAGGAUGUACCCGGUCGAGCUCGCGGCGGCCCCCGGGCGGAGAGUGAUGGAUAUGCCCGGUGCGUUUGGCACCCGGGCGUGAUAUUGCCGCCGGGAAUAUAGAGAGAUUGAAGUUUUCGCCGCAAUCUACCAGGACCCGCUCGCUGACGGCGGGCCCUGUUUUU